CGGGUAACCCGCAGAGCGGGCUGAGGGAUACGAGACCCUGCCGCCGCCGCCGCCUCGCUCAGCUUCCCGCCCCCACCCGCUCGCCGUUCGUUCGCCUCAGCGAACGCCGCUGCCGAAGGCGAUAAAGCGGCCGAGGCGCUACUGAGGGGAGAGCGACAAGAGCGCCGUCGGACCUUUCCUUCCCACCACCAAACUUCCACCCCCCCCCAAAAAUGCAUAAAACACACAUGCCUUCUCCAGUUAAACCCUCUAUUUAUAAAGGAAUUGCCGGCUUCACACAUGCCUCUUUCACACGGGUUCGAGAGCCCAAUACGAACGGGGACCGGCACGUGUAUGAGGAGGACGGGGGGUGGGGAGCAAUGGGCGCUAGGAAGGUCCCUGUUGAACGCUGAACCCAGGGCAAACCUGGGUCUGGAUUUCUUCUGCGUAAUGUGUGAAGCUGGCCGGGUGACUGGAAUAAGAGGUGAAGAACAGAGCUCCCAUGCUUUUUUUCUUCUGUUUUCUGUAUCAUUGGUAUUUCUGCCCCUCGGCCAAGAUUGAGAACCCCGCUUUCGAUUCUAGUCGCCUUCCAAACAACCCGAGACUUAGUUUAGCAUCAGGGAUAAGAGACUAGAUAACGAGAAUUAUCUAUGGUCUUUUAUUCACCAAGUAAACUUAAGUAGGGUGCUGUCAGCACCCCCACACACCAAUAUUAAUGCAGGCUAUUUGCCUACCUCACUGGGUUGUUGUGUGGAUUCCCAAGAUAAUGCAUGUGAAGUAGCAUAUAUUUCCGUGUAUGAUGAUCCCAUGUAUAAGACGUCCCCUAUUUGGGGGGACUCCAAAUUAAGAAAAAACCCCUCAGCAAUACCUGUGUAUAAGACGAGACCCAAUUUUAAACCUAAUUUUUUGGUUAAAAAACCCUAGUCUUAUAUAUGGAAAAAAUACGGUACUUUGAGCAUUGUAAGAUGCUUGUGGAAUGUUCUUUUUUAAAAAAAUUAUAAUAAAAUAUAUAGUGUACAUAAUAUAAUACAGCAACAGCUCAUAGUCGAGAAGCGCUUACCGAAGAGAUAUGACAGUAAAAAGAUGUAUAUAUAACGCAUUUCAAGAGUUCACUUUUCAGUUAAACCUCUGUAAACUAGCUUGAUUUCUCCAUAUUCAAUAGCUCUUUGCUGGCAAAACAGUAGUAAGAGUUGAGGAGAGCUUGGAUUUGGGACGUGCAGCUCAUAGCUCAAAAACUUACCUUCUCUCAAGAGGUCCUCACUGCAUCCAGUAAACUUACAGUACUUGGUAUUAAGAAAGGAAGGCUGUGUACACAAGACUGAAAUGAGAACCACUGUAAGUCCAUAUGUAAUGCAAAAUAAAAGCCUACAUUGGUCAAAGAAUGUAACCACAUUUCCCCCCAGCUUUUGUUCUUUAUUAACAAGCAGGCAUUUGCACCAACACCAUGAAUGUUAAAGUGAAUUUAUUGCGCAUGCAUAGUUGGCGAACACCAUCCUUGCACAUGUGCAAUAAGACUUUUAAAGAUAAUUGGCAUUUAAAUUAAAGACACCACACAAAGCUAUGAUGUAUACAAAUUCUGGCAGUAAUUCAAUACUAGUACCGGUAUGUUGAUGUGCAUAUGUACAGGCAAAUACACAUUUUACCUAAUACACUGAGAGUGAUCCCCAGAUGAAACUUAGCUCAUGCAUUUCCCUAUGUAAAAUAGACAUGAACAGAAAAAUUUCUUAUUUACUGCUGUGCCUGUGCAAACCUGAUAACCUGUCUGUUUUUAUCAUUAUUUUGCACAUGGGCUUCAAAGUGAAGAUCGGUUCAGUUUAAUGUCAUUCAAAAUAGAAGCUAGAAUGGCACUGAAUAUUUUUGUGGGAUGUUCUUUUUUGUACCAAA